rnacentral:rRNA from 1 species
CCUACGGGAGACAGCAGUGAGGAAUAUUGGUCAAUGGACGCAAGUCUGAACCAGCCAUGCCGCGUGAAGGAAGACGGCUCUAUGAGUUGUAAACUGCUUUUGUACGAGGGUAAACGCAGAUACGCGUACCUGUCUGAAAGUAUCGUACGAAUAAGGAUCGGCUAACUCCGUGCCAGCAGCCGCGGUAAUACGGAGGAUUCAAGCGUUAUCCGGAUUUAUUGGGUUUAAAGGGUGCGUAGGUGGUCGGUUAAGUCAGAGGUGAAAUCCUGCGGCUCAACUUCGGAAUUGCCUCUGAUACUGUCAGUCUAGAGAGCAGUUGCGGUAGGCGGAAUGCAUGGUGUAGCGGUGAAAUGCUUAGAGAUCAUGAAGAACACCGAUUGCGAAGGCAGCUUACCAAGCUACUUCUGACGUUGAGGCACGAAAGCGUGGGGAGCAAACAGGAUUAGAUACCCGGGUAGUC